rnacentral:lncRNA from 1 species
AUUGAGAGUCCCAUAGGGCGUGGCGCACAAUCGGCCCAGCGUCGUCCGGGUUUGGCCCGGGGUAGGCCGUCCGUGUAAAUAAGACUUUGUUCAUAACUGACUUGCCUCGUUAAAUAAAUCUAAAUAAAGUAAAGGCCUGCUGUUUCAUUGAAACAUUGAACAGUAUAGGUCUAUAUUGGGUUAUGUCCUAUGUGUGGAGUCAAACCAAGGCUAGAAUUCCUAACAUUGUCCAGCCUCCCUCGUCGUUAAAACAUUAGUAUGACUUCAUACUGGAGCUCUGAGUCAGACUGAAUGUAAUCACUACAUGGAGAGGACUACAGAGGAACAGAGAGACAAGAUCUACGCAGUACAGAGAGAGGACUACAGAGGACUACAGAGAGACAAGAUCUACUCAGUACAGAGAGAGGACUACAGAGGAACAGAGAGACAAGAUCUACUACAGAGGACUACAGAGGAACAGAGAGACAAGAUCUACGCAGUACAGAGAGAGGACUACAGAGGAACAGAGAGACAAGAUCUACUCAAGGACUACAGAGGAACAGAGAGACAAGAUCUACUCAGUACAGAGAGAGGACUACAGAGGAACAGAGAGACAAUAUUUACUACAGAGGACUACAGAGGAACAGAGAGACAAGAUCUACUACAGAGGACUAUAGAGGAACAGAGAGACAAUAUCUAUUCAGUACAGAGAGAGGACUACAGAGCAACAGAGAGACAAUAUAUACUACAGAGGACUACAGCGGAACAGAGAGACAAUAUAUACUCAGUAUAGAGAGAGGACUACAGAGGAACAGAGAGACAAUAUAUACUCAGUAUAGAGAGAGGACUACAGAGGAACAGAGAGACAAGAUCUAUUCAGUACAGAGAGAGGACUACAGAGAGACAAUAUCUACUACAGAGGACUACAGAGGAACAGAGAGACAAGAUCUACUCAGUACAGAGAGAGGACUAUAGAGGAAUAGAGAGACAAUAUCUACUCAGUACAGAGAGAGGACUACAGAGGAACAGAGAGACAAUAUCUACUCAGUACAGAGAGAGGACUAUAGAGGAACAGAGAGACAAGAUCUACUCAGUACAGAGAGAGGACUAUAGAG